GACGAACGCUGGCGGCGUGCUUAACACAUGCAAGUCGAACGGAAAGGCCCUGCUUUUGUGGGGUGCUCGAGUGGCGAACGGGUGAGUAACACGUGAGUAACCUGCCCUUGACUUUGGGAUAACUUCAGGAAACUGGGGCUAAUACCGGAUAGGAGCUCCUGCUGCAUGGUGGGGGUUGGAAAGUUUCGGCGGUUGGGGAUGGACUCGCGGCUUAUCAGCUUGUUGGUGGGGUAGUGGCUUACCAAGGCUUUGACGGGUAGCCGGCCUGAGAGGGUGACCGGCCACAUUGGGACUGAGAUACGGCCCAGACUCCUACGGGAGGCAGCGGUGGGGAAUAUUGCACAAUGGGCGGAAGCCUGAUGCAGCAACGCCGCGUGCGGGAUGACGGCCUUCGGGUUGUAAACCGCUUUCGCCUGUGACGAAGCGUGAGUGACGGUAAUGGGUAAAGAGGCACCGGCUAACUACGUG
rnacentral:rRNA from 1 species